rnacentral:rRNA from 1 species
AUUGAACGCUGGCGGCAGGCCUAACACAUGCAAGUCGAACGAGUGGCGGACGGGUGAGUAAUGUAUGGGAAACUGCAUGAUGGAGGGGGAUAACUACUGGAAACGGUAGCUAAUACCGCAUACCAUCGGAUGUGACCAGAUGGGAGUAGCGAGUAGGUGGGGGAAAGGCUAACUUAGGCGACGAUCACUAGCUGGUCUGAGAGGAUGAACAGUCACACGGGAACGGGGACACGGUCCAGACUCCGACGGGAGGCAGCAGUGGGGAAUAUUGCACAAUGGGCGCAAGCCUGAUGAAGCCACGCCGCGUGUAUGAAGAGGGUCUUCGGGUUGUAAAGUACUUUCAUCGGGGAGGCGUUACCUGCAGAAGAAGCAACGGCUAACUCCGUGCCAGCAGCCGCGGUAAUUC